GCAACUCAAGUAACAAAACGCAAUUAACGAAUUUAACCAAGGGCUAUUUGGACUAUUUGGUAAUCUCCCUGUUGUCUGUGUAGGCUAGUGUCAAAAUAACGGGGUAUCCUAUUAGUCUGUGGUGAAACAUAGCAUAUUAAUAACCUGUGGAUUAGAAAUUUAAAUUUUAUAAACAAAACAAAAUUUUUAUUUUUCAGGUUUUAAAGAGAAUUUAGAAAUUGAGCAAAGUUUUACUAAAUUAUAGUGAUCUUAGGAGCAAAGUUUACUUCGUCUGUGUUAUUGUUAAUCAAAAAUAUAAAAGUAAUCAAAAAAGAAAAACUACCUCUAUCUAAUUUUGUUGAUGUCCAUUUCUUAAGAAGUUUCUCAUUAAAACAACCCUUAACUCAGGCAAGGCAGGGCUAAGGUGGUUAGCGUAACUACAAGUGGUUAACUUACAGUUAGCCUACUGAAGAACAAUCAACAAUGCCCGAUUAAUAAGUGAUCGCGCUGCUUGUCUACUACAUGUCCCUGCACUAGUUAUAGCAGUAAUUUCUUUGUUUGGAAGUAUUUAGCACAUCCGGGCUGCGCAAAAGGAGAGAACUAAAUUGAUUAUUAUGAACAGACCAUUAUGAUGAACCACUGAUAUUGACUCAGAGACAUGAAGAUGAGUGCUUUGACAACAAGACUGACUAGCUGAGCCAGCUUAAGAAUUAUGUGGUGUGUGUGUGUGUCUAAUUCCAGGAGCUCUCUAUGUCAGCCAUCCAUCUAUAUUCUUACUCAUUUUUGUUAAUUAUAAAAUAAAUUUGAUUAUUUA